rnacentral:rRNA from 1 species
GUGUCAGCCGCCGCGGUAAUACGUAGGGGGCAAGCGUUGUCCGGAAUUAUUGGGCGUAAAGCGCGCGCAGGCGGUCAUUUAAGUCUGGUGUUUAAACCUUGGGCUCAACCUGAGGUCGCACUGGAAACUGGGUGACUUGAGUACAGAAGAGGAAAGUGGAAUUCCACGUGUAGCGGUGAAAUGCGUAGAUAUGUGGAGGAACACCAGUGGCGAAGGCGACUUUCUGGGCUGUAACUGACGCUGAGGCGCGAAAGCGUGGGGAGCAAACAGGAUUAGAUACCCUGGUAGUCCACGCCGUAAACGAUGAGUGCUAGGUGUUAGGGGUUUCGAUACCCUUGGUGCCGAAGUUAACACAGUAAGCACUCCGCCUGGGGAGUACGGUCGCAAGACUGAA